rnacentral:piRNA from 1 species
UAGAUGUGCAAGUUGCGUUCGGUCCGAG